rnacentral:tRNA from 1 species
GGGCCCGUAGCCUAGCAUGGAUAGGGCGUCGGCCUCCGGAGCCGAAGGCCGUGGGUUCGAAUCCCACCGGGCCCGCCA